CAAGUGGCUCUCUGUGUGCUGAGAAGAGUAAAAUUCUUUAUCUCCUGCACACGUUGUUUCAUGCGUCUGUGAUCAUGUUACUUAACUUUGUUAAACAGUAGCCUGCACGCGCACAACGCAUCACCCUGUUCUACCUCCUUCUAGCAGGACCGCGUCACCUAAUCCCACUCAUUUCAGCCCCGCACACUCUGCAUCUGUGCGCGUGGCGCGCAGACUCACCGCUGUCGGAUCUUCUCGGAAGACCUUGGCUUUUACCUUCCUGCCAGCACUAAAGCUUUUCUUUUGCCCUAGGUUCUGGGUGGCCUAAUGUGAGCAUCAGAGCACUAGCUCUUUGCUAAGUGACCAGAAGAUGAACCAUUAACUACUAUCAGAUGAUCCAAAGCUCAAAUGGAUUUUGAACCCCAGCCCAGGGAAAGCAAUCUAUCUUGGCACUCAGUCACAAAACAAAAGACGUGUAGAAUUACAUGUGCUGAUAUGGCAGAUGUUUGUAAAACAAUAGUUUGACCUGCAAUCUAAGGAUGUUACUGCAAUACCAGAAAAAAAAAUCUGCUGAAAACAGAAUUGCCUCACACACAGCACUGUCUUCUGCGUGUGCACCUGUGAUGUGAACCCAAAGGAAGAAUCUGGACUCCGUUCCCGAAUCCACACUCACUUUAGAUUAUUGGUGAGUGGGUGCAGAUGUUCUGACGUUUUCAUAAUUCCUGCCCAGGCCCCAUUUCUGACCAGCCACCGCCCCUCGUCCACACUUUAUUUAGGGCCAAACGUGUUUGUCUUUCCUUCUAUUUUAUCAUCCCCGCCAGCCCCCAGCACCUGGACCUGGGGUCAGGUAGUAACUGCACCGGGGGAGUGAGGAGUCACAGUGGGACAGAGCAGGAGUCUGUGAAGCCUGCAUGUCUUCACGCAACUCAGAGUGGGAGCGGCCGACGCUGGGCUCCUGGGCGUGUCUGGUUCUGAGGGGCCCUGGGAGCAGCUGUCCGGCAGCACCAUCUCGACGACUGUGCGACGCAGUAUUUCCAGCAGGGCGAGGGGUGGAGGGACACCCCUGAGGCUAUCUGCUGUCCAGGGGGUGGGGAUCAUCACAUCACCGGUGCUCAGAGUGAAGACCCCUUGUCAGGGGGUCUCAGCACGGAGCCCAGGGACCCACGGAGCAAGGAGGCUUCGGAAGUUAGAUUCCUUCAAGGCUCUUUGUUACACUGAAACAUGUAUUUCUUUCCUGGCCCCUUCCCACACGAUGAAAGCACAAAACUGUUCUAGCUGACGCAACUUUUCAGCUGCCCCGUGGUAGGUGGCAUGCUGGCCGGAAAGCAUCAAGCCGAGGGAAGGAAGGUGCUUCAGCCCCCGUCAGCCUAGGGCCCCCGUCAGACGAGGGCUCAGGCUGCUUUAAGCUCUAAUUAAAACACGUUUCUCUGGGAACGUACGUCUAACCUGCUCGGUCAGGCUGACGAAAUCCCUCCAGCAAGCUGCUCUUCACCUGUUGGUUUCCAAGACGGGCACGCAUUGAUGGGUACCUCCCUCGGGGUCCUGCCACCGCCUUUGCCUCCACGUGUUUCCAGCGAGGACCCUCCGGCAACAGGGCACGUCUAAGCACAGAAUUUGAAUAAUGCAUCAUAGAGUCACAAACUGUAAUCUACAGUGCAUAAUAUACCGUUGAAUUAUAAAUUGUUCAUCUUUGUUAGUAAGACCAUUUCUAUUUCAUAGAAUUGGGAAGAAAUGUAGUGCAGAUUUCAGGACUGAAAAUUGGAAAUCAGAGGUGGGUUCCAGGUUUAACUGUGCUUUGAGUUAAUCAUAUGAACCAAGUCGAGUUUCCUUGUGUUUGCUCCCCACGGUGUACUGUUUUCACUCGUACCUGCUGGUAAAGAAGGGCUAAUGAGAUGCAGGAGCAGGUCCGUCUCGGUCUGGAUUUUGUGCUCGGCGAGCAAGACAGCAUACAUUUCUCCUAGGCCUUUAUCUUUCCUUGUGAGAACAGGGUCGUUAAAUUUUAAAUAUCCUUCAAGGUUUUAUACAUAAGAAUCCUCAAGUUGGUGUGUGUAUUUGAAAACAUGACACACUGUGGCCCUUGUCACAGUUUAACCCAGCCGGCGCUCUCCUUUUACUUUUAAGUUCAUCUCCAGUUGCACAUGAGAGUCCGGGAAAGAUCAUGAACUAUUUGCAGCCUCUCUUGGCAGGUCUCCGGGGAUGUGUCCACUGGAGUCGGAUUACAGAACCUGGAACCGCGUUAGAGGUGAAGGGCUCCCUUCAGAGAACUUCUUUAGAGCUCUCUUCCCUCAUCAUUAAGAACCAGUCCAGCCUCACAGCCACUUCACAUUCCUGCUGAAUGUAGCCCAUUUGUGAAGCACCCUACACUGAAGUAUCUUUGAAUUGAUUUUGAGUUUAUUGAGAAUUUCUAACAGAAUUAGCACAUCUUUUCUGCAGUGUUCAUGCUACAACACAUCCAAUGACAGCAAAUUCACAGAUGUUAUUUUAUAACAUAGAAUCUGUAAUGGGUUCAGAGUAAACAAAACAGAAGCCACUCGUUCAUAUCUAAUGGGAAUAUGCUGUUUGUUUUCUCUUAAUUGCCCACUUUGUUACUUUUAAUUCAUUAAA